rnacentral:rRNA from 1 species
CCUACGGGAGGCAGCAGUGGGGGAUAUUGCACAAUGGGGGAAACCCUGAUGCAGCGACGCCGCGUGUGGGAAGACGGUCCUCUGGAUUGUAAACCACUGUCCCCAGGGACGAAGAUGACGGUACGUGGGGAGGAAGCUCCGGCUAACUACGUGCCAGCAGCCGCGGUAAUACGUAGGGAGCGAGCGUUGUCCGGAAUUACUGGGUGUAAAGGGAGCGUAGGCGGGACUGCAAGUUGGGUGUCAAAUCUACCGGCUCAACCGGUAGCCGCACUCAAAACUGCAGUUCUUGAGUGAAGUAGAGGCAGGCGGAAUUCCUAGUGUAGCGGUGAAAUGCGUAGAUAUUAGGAGGAACACCAGUGGCGAAGGCGGCCUGCUGGGCUUUUACUGACGCUGAGGCUCGAAAGUGUGGGGAGCAAACAGGAUUAGAUACCCGGGUAGUC